rnacentral:lncRNA from 1 species
GCAGACUCUCAGGUCAGAUGGUGAGGGCUGAUUGCGGGAGGUGGACAAGAAGUCUGGCCUAAUGACUAAGGACAGCUAACGCCUAACUCCGUUCCUCAUCACUCCACCUGGGUGACCGAUGCCGCUACCUCUUUGUCAUUCAGUAGCCCUCUUUACCUGUUUUGGCCUCGCUGCUAGGGCUGUCGCCGAGCUUACACGGACUCCAGGUCUCUCCUGAGACACUCCUAUCUCCCGGUCCCGACACCAGCACCAAGCGCUCAGAAGCAGCGGAACUGGCAACACCUUGGUGCCCUAGACGGAAACCUCAGUCCCGACUGAAGCGUAUUCAUCACCAACACUGGGAUAGCUGCAGCUAGGGCCACACAAUAAAAAUAGCCCAGGACGGCACUGGCUAUCCGCUGCCCCUUCAGCUAUAGAAUUCCUGUCCUUAAUCGCUUUUAGUUCUGUAACUGCUUGUGGAAACAGCUGAUUACUGGACAGGUGGGAGUACGAAAGGCGUUUAGUAAGACUGCAAAUCUGAUGUGAACUGGUAGGACGCAGAGUGUAUGGCAUAGUCAAGAAAGAAGUCAACGCCAGGCGAGGUGCUAUGGCUAAGGGAUUAAUCUUUUGUGUCCCAACUAUGUUGCUCUGACGGUUCCACUUGCACUACUGGUUUUUACUUCAUCGUUAAUCUCUGCUCUGGCCGAUAACAGCCUGCAUGAAAACAUCACCAGUUUUCAAGUUUUUCUCAGGAUGAACAGUACAUAGAAAAGUGAGCCUGAAUGCUGAGAUCCUGAGACCGUGCUGCGGCGCCUGGGAAUUCAUAGAGCAGCUUUUAAGGGGCCACCACUUCUCGCAUCGUGUGCCAUGCAAGUAAACCUACCCUAUCCUGAGACCCUUGCCUGGGGUGACUGGAAGAGCUGCUUCUGUAGAAUCCUGGGCCAGACCAUCUAUCUGGACGAAUAGGAGAAAAGCCUAGUUGUUGUCUCCUGCAAGAUGUAUUCAGUUGUAAUUUCGCCUUUGUUCCUUAAUCUGUUAGUAUGGUAUAUUACAUCGAUUAAUAUUUCAUAUUAAAUCAGUCAUGAAUUCCCAUUAUGAGCCCCACUUGCUCAUGAUUGAAGAUAUUUCUUAUAUGUUGCAGAUUGACUCUUGGUAUUAUUUGUCCAUUUUUGUACUCACCUAGCACACACAUACAAAAU